GAUGAACGCUAGCUACAGGCUUAACACAUGCAAGUCGAGGGGUAACGAGAGGAAAGCUUGCUUUCCUUGUCGACGACCGGCGCACGGGUGAGUAACGCGUAUCCAACCUGCCCCCAACUAGGGAAUAACCUUGCGAAAGUAAGACUAAUACCCUAUAAUUUCCUCAGAUGCCAUCUGACGAGGAAUAAAGAUUUAUCGGUUGUGGAUGGGGAUGCGUCUGAUUAGCGUGUUGGCGGGGUAACGGCCCACCAAGGCAACGAUCAGUAGGGGUUCUGAGAGGAAGGUCCCCCACAUUGGAACUGAGACACGGUCCAAACUCCUACGGGAGGCAGCAGUGAGGAAUAUUGGUCAAUGGGCGGAAGCCUGAACCAGCCAAGUAGCGUGCAGGAUGACGGCCCUAUGGGUUGUAAACUGCUUUUAUACAGGAAUAAAGUUAGCCACGUGUGGUUAUUUGUAGGUACUGUAUGAAUAAGGACCGGCUAAUUCCGUGCCAGCCGCCGCGGUAAAAC
rnacentral:rRNA from 1 species